UCUAAGAGAUAUCAAUCGUCGAAUUUUAUCAAAGAGCCGAUGAUCUAUGUACAAUAAUAUAGACUCUGGACGAAAAGGGUGCCACGUGAUUGGCUAGUAAAGCGAUUAUAUGUAAGACAAAAAUAAACCUUGAAUUAGAACGGGGCUAGAGAGAUAGAUUAUUCGUUCGUAUUACGAUAUUAAAUCUGACCAACGUAAAAGUCAAAUCACGUGGACGAAUUUAAAGACGUAAAAAUCUAUGGCACGUAUGGCAUCAGAAAAAAAAAAAAAUUUCACUUCUAACAUUUUUCUUUUAUCCAAUCUCCUACAAAUUUAGGAUCUAUUUGUGGUACGUUAGCAUAAAUCUUUUCUCGACGUUAACGAAUGGAACGGAACGGAACAGAACGGAAACGCACAUGAAGUAAAAUUUGCGAAGGGAUCUACCUUACCGAGGGUCAUGUUUACUUUGGUCAGUAAUCUUUAUAUCAGAACGAGAAAAAGAAGGGGGGAAAUAAACAGAACAUAAAAUUUAACCUUUUGUGCUAACAAUAAGAUCUAUUUUACUUUUGGUAAGUCGCCAAGUGGAAACUUAUUUACAGUGCGUUGAAAAUGCGUGUGCACGCAGGAAAUCGACGAAAUAUAAUAAUAAAUUUCGUACAGCUAGAAAAAAAAAAAAAGAAAAAAAAAAAAAAAAAACAAAUUUCGUGUUCCUAUCAACUACUUAUGUAUUAUCACUGACACUGUAUUCAAUUUUGUUGUCUCUCUCAUCGACGCUUUCUAGGAAUCGUAGAGUAAAAAUAAAAAAUAAAGAAUAAUGGAAUAAUAAAUUUCGUAUCUUGAGGAAAAAAAUAAAAAUAAAAACUUUCGUCGCAUAUACAUAAAUU